rnacentral:rRNA from 1 species
AUUGAACGCUGGCGGCAGGCCUAACACAUGCAAGUCGAGCGGAUGAAGGGAGCUUGCUCCUGGCUUCAGCGGCGGACGGGUGAGUAAUUCCUAGGAAUCUGCCUUGUAUUUGGGGCUAACGUCCGUAAACGGGCGCUAAUACCACAUACGUCCUGAUGUAGAACGUGGGGGAUCUUUGGACCUCACGCUAUCAGCUGACCCUAGGUCGGAUUAGCUAGUUGGUGGGGUAAAGGCCUACCAAGGCGACGAUCCGUAACUGCUCUGAGAGGAUGAUCAGUCACACUGGAACUGAGACACGGUCCAGACUCCUACGGGAGGCAGCAGUGGGGAAUAUUGGACAAUGGGCGAAAGCCUGAUCCAGCCAUGCCGCGUGUGUGAAGAAGGUCUUCGGAUUGUAAAGCACUUUAAGUUGGGAGGAAGGGAAGUAAGUUAAUACCUGGCUGUUUUGACGUUACCAACAGAAUAAGCACCGGCUAACUUCGUG